rnacentral:rRNA from 1 species
CUUCCUGCCGGCGACCGGCGCACGGGUGAGUAACACGUAUGCAACCUGCCCCUGUCAGGGGGACAACCCGCCGAAAGGCGGGCUAAACCCGCGUACAUGCCACCGGGGCAUCCCGGAGGCAGGAAAGGCUUCGGCCGGACAGGGAUGGGCAUGCGGCGCAUUAGGCAGUAGGCGGGGUAACGGCCCACCUAACCGACGAUGCGUAGGGGUUCUGAGAGGAAGGUCCCCCACACUGGUACUGAGACACGGACCAGACUCCUACGGGAGGCAGCAG